rnacentral:rRNA from 1 species
ACGGAAGGCAGCAGUGGGGAAUAUUGGGCAAUGGGCGAAAGCCUGACCCAGCAACGCCGCGUGAAGGAAGAAGGUCUUCGGAUUGUAAACUUCUUUUAUAAGGGACGAAGGAAGUGACGGUACCUUAUGAAUAAGCCACGGCUAACUGCGUGCCAGCAGCCGCGGUAAUACGUAGGUGGCAAGCGUUAUCCGGAUUUACUGGGUGUAAAGGGCGCGUAGGCGGGGAUGCAAGUCAGAUGUGAAAUCUAUGGGCUCAACCCAUAAACUGCAUUUGAAACUGUAUUUCUUGAGUGCUGGAGAGGUAGAUGGAAUUCCUUGUGUAGCGGUGAAAUGCGUAGAUAUAAGGAGGAACACCAGUGGCGAAGGCGGCUUACUGGACUGUAACUGACACUGAGGCUCGAAAGCGUGGGGAGCAAACAGGAUUAGAUACCCUGGUA